rnacentral:lncRNA from 10 species
CUCUUCCGGCCGGAGUCAGUGGCGGGGUUCUCGCCGGUCCUGCGGGUCGCUGCUUGGCUGUGGGUUAGCAGCACCCUGAGCGGAGCGGAAGAGCUGCCCGCCGCCGCGUAACCCCGAGGCCGAGACUCCUGGCCUGGCCUCCUUGGGCCCACGACGCCUGCCCCGCGGAGCGGACCCAUGGGCCUGAGGUUUGUGUGCGGGGCCUCAGGCGAGCGCUGGCGCAGCCUGUCCCCCAUCGUCUGCGCCCUGCGGGCCUGGCCCUCCCCGUGGAAGGACCGCGGGCUUCGGGGCCCCACGCUGGGGGGCUGACUCCUGCCACACACACAGCGGUGGCCGCGGGCCUGGGGCGGCAGCACAGCCAUUCUGCUCGGGCUGCGUGAGCUGACCCCGCUCUCUGUGCACCUACUUUUGCUGCGUUUGGUGCUGAGCCUGAAGUCCCAGGACAGGCGGCUGAGGGGGAAAGAUGGUGUGAAUUGGGUGGGCAGAGACAACUGAAAGCCACAGGACCCGGUUGGCACCUUUUUGGCCGCCUGCGCCUUUGCCUGCAGCCCCGCUCCCUGGGUCACCCGAAGGAGGAGCUGGCGCUCUUUCCGGGCGCAGAAGCACCCGACCCACGCUGGAGGAAACGGUCCCUCUGGGCAGGAGAAGCUUUGGGCCUGGCUGGAGCACACUCACGGAACCACGCCAACGCCUGGCCUGUAGCCAGCUCCCACCUCCCCUCCCACCUUCUAAAAUGCUUGCGGAUCUCACGUGGCCGACCCUAACCAGAUACACAUGGGGAAAGGAAUCAGGUGGCACACAUACCGCCUUUACUCCAUAGAGAACUUCCAAUUGUGGGUCGGCACAGACGCAACCCAGUCUCCUCCCACCUCCGAGAGUGCAGUGUCCUGAAUGGAGAACCCCAGCACCCAGAAGCAUCCACUGAAGGACUAAAUUCUACACAUGAAGGCAAACGUCCGUGGUUGACAGAAAUUACACUGGCCAGAAUCCCCAGUCCCCAUGAGGCUUGUCCAGACGCAGUGAACCAGUCGCAGCUGAUAACACACAGACCAUUCCCGAUCCCAGAGGUGCAUUUCAGGAUUCAUUCUAUUUCAUCAGAGACGGGGUCUUCCUGUGUUGCCCAGGCUGGUCUCGAACUCCUGGGCUGAAGCAAUCUUCCUGCCUUGGCCUCCCAGAGGGUUGGAAUUGCAGAUGUGAGGUAAUGUCCAGUUCCUUGCCUUAUUUAUAAAAUGUAAUUUAUUUUUUGAACUUUUUCCUCUUCAGAGCCUUCCAUUCGCCUUCCUGUGUAGCCAGGCUGUUAAAAAGCUGCUUUACUUUCCGCUUUCUUUCCGCAUCCCGUUCCAUGAUUUCUGAGAGUUGCAUCCUCGCCAGGAACUGAUUGUCCUUGCGGAUUUCUCGAACGGCCCCUUUAAAUUCACGCUUGUGUUUGUGGAUCAGCCUCUUCCUUUCCUGUUCCUCCUUACUACUGCCUUGUUUUCUUCCAAACUCGAGGACUUUGACCAGCCGGGGUGUGAAAAGCUUCAGUGGGACAGGCUUGCUCUUCUCACAGGUCAGCGGCCGGCAGAGCUGCUUCUGGCUUUCCAUUUCGGUCAGUGUGCUCUGACACAGCUCCUGGAGCUCCUGCGGGUGGCUGCAGUCCGCCAGGUGAUCCGUGAGGAGGGCUUGGAGAGGCCCCAUGAUGGCGUGGAAGGAUGGCAGGGACCCGUACAUGAGCACGCAGCGCUUCAGCAGGGCCAGGCCCACAGCCAGGCAGGACAGUCUGUGAGGGCAGGAGGCAAGAGGAGGUCCAACUUGUUCUGUUUGUCACUGACAAAACCAAUAACGUGGCAAAAAUGAACUUCCCCACUUCCACUAGGCUGAAAACUCCAGUGUGGCCACCUUGGCCGGCCAGGGUUGGGC